GGUCCUCGUGUUAUGGUUGAAGUGUGACUCUUCAGAGAAAACAGUAAUGCAUCCCUUAAGUGUUUUUAUAGUAGCACUGUGGCUUCAACUGAGGGGGGUGAGCAGCCAGCAGAAGGUGCAGCAGAACCCAGAAAUCCUCAGUGUCACAGAGGGAGCCCUGGCCUCUCUCAACUGUACUUACAGUGAUCCUAAUUAUGAUUACUUCUGGUGGUACAGACAGUAUCCUGGGAAAAGUCCUGAGUUGCUCAUGUCUAUCUUCUCCAAUGGUGAAAAGAAAGAAGGCAGAUUCACCGUUAAUCUCAAUAAAGCCAGCCUGCAUGUUUCCCUGCACAUCAGAGACUCCCAGCCCAGUGACUCAGCUGUCUACCUGUGUACAGUGAGCACACAGUGCUCCCCAGACACCUGCAGUCUAUACCCAAACCCAAUGGGCCCCAGCAAGGUCUGGACUAGUGUGCAGAAAACAGGAUGGAAAAAUUCUGAUUGUUCUCCUUGUACUUCAUACCUAGUAGGAAUUAGAGCCACAGAAGGGAGGAGUUGA